UGGGGAAUUUUGGACAAUGGGCGAAAGCCUGAUCCAGCCAUGCCGCGUGAGUGAAGAAGGCCUUCGGGUUGUAAAGCUCUUUUAGUCGGAAAGAAAGAGUUGCAAUGAAUAAUUGUGAUUUAUGACGGUACCGACAGAAAAAGCACCGGCUAACUACGUGCCAGCAGCCGCGGUAAUACGUAGGGUGCGAGCGUUAAUCGGAAUUACUGGGCGUAAAGGGUGCGCAGGCGGUCUUGCAAGUCAGAUGUGAAAGCCCCGGGCUUAACCUGGGAAUUGCGUUUGAAACUACAAGACUAGAGUGCAGCAGAGGGGAGUGGAAUUCCAUGUGUAGCAGUGAAAUGCGUAGAGAUGUGGAAGAACACCGAUGGCGAAGGCAGCUCCCUGGGUUGACACUGACGCUCAUGCACGAAAGCGUGGGGAGCAAAC
rnacentral:rRNA from 1 species